UACGGAGAGUGCAAACGUUGUUCGGAUUUACUGGGCGUAAAGGGCACGUAGGCGGCUCGGCAAAUCAGUCGUGGAGUCCCGUCGCUUACCGACGGAACGGCGGCUGAAAAUACCGGGCUUGAGGGCUUGAGGGGUCACUGGAACUCCUGGUGAAGCGGUGAAAUGCGUAGAUAUCAGGAGGAACGCCGGAGGCGAAAGCGAGUGACUGGCGAGUUCCUGACGCUGAGGUGCGAAAGCUAGGGGAGCAAACAGG
rnacentral:rRNA from 1 species